CCUACGGGUGGCAGCAGUGGGGAAUAUUGCGCAAUGGGCGAAAGCCUGACGCAGCGACGCCGCGUGAGGGAUGAAGGUCCUCGGAUCGUAAACCUCUGUCAGCAGGGAAGAACGGUCACUGUGCUAAUCAGCAGUGAAUUGACGGUACCAGCAAAGGAAGCACAGGCGAACUCCGUUCACGCAGCUGCGGUAAGACGGCGGGUGCGAGCGUUAAUCGGAAUUACUGGGCGUAAAGGGCUCGUAGGCGGGAUGUCAAGUCAAGGGUGAAAUCCCCGCGCUCAAGGUGGGAACUGCCUUUGAAACUGGCGACCUGGAGUGUGUGAGAGGAUGGUGGAAUGCGAGGUGUAGGAGUG
rnacentral:rRNA from 1 species